UCUCCUUCGUCUCUAUCAUCACCCUCAAAACCCUAGCGGCGCAUAUGCAUCAUCUUCAGCAAAUCCACACAUGUUCUUCAGCAAAUCGACGAUGGUGAUUCUCAUGUUACCUUUUCACCACCGAUUUUGUAGAUUUGAGUUAUUUUUCUUCCGUGUUCAAUUUUGAAUCUCGCUUCGUGUUCUUCUGGUUCAGUCAUGUACGAUCCAUGGAUUCAAGCAUCAGAUUGCUCUAGCCACCGCCCCAUCAAUCAGGCUAGGGUUCCAACAGGUUGAUCUAGAGCCAGU
rnacentral:lncRNA from 1 species